rnacentral:rRNA from 1 species
UACGAAGGGUGCAAGCGUUAAUCGGAAUUACUGGGCGUAAAGGGUGCGUAGGCGGUUCGUUAAGUCUGUCGUGAAAUCCCCGGGCUCAACCUGGGAAUGGCAAUGGAUACUGGCUGGCUAGAGUGUGUCAGAGGAUGGUGGAAUUCCCGGUGUAGCGGUGAAAUGCGUAGAGAUCGGGAGGAACACCAGUGGCGAAGGCGGCCUUCUGGACCAAUACUGACGCUCAUGCACGAAAGCGUGGGGAGCAAACAGG